GACGUAGGAGGCGAGCGUUGUCCGGAUUCAUUGGGCGUAAAGAGCGCGCAGGCGGCUUGGUAAGUCGGAUGUGAAAUCCCGAGGCUCAACCUCGGGUCUGCAUCCGAUACUGCCCGGCUAGAGGUAGGUAGGGGAGAUCGGAAUUCCUGGUGUAGCGGUGAAAUGCGCAGAUAUCAGGAGGAACACCGGUGGCGAAGGCGGAUCUCUGGGCCUUACCUGGCGCUCAGGCGCGAAAGCUAGGGGAGCGAACAGG
rnacentral:rRNA from 1 species